GUUAAUUAUUUCACCUUGCCUUCAUUAUUUUUGGCGAUGUUACCACUGUUCUUGCUAUUUGCUGUUUUCGCCCGAGCUAUUAUCCCUCGCAAACGUGCAAACGCGUUCGACGCAAACCUGACGCGUCAAAAUAAUUCUGCACCUUUUAUUUUCCAUCGCUCCACAUAUAGGAACCGGGUCACGAACUUCUCAGCUAGCGUGCAAGAGUGUUCGAAUAGUGAAAAUAUUGAACCGAAUCAAAUAUAGAUAUUCGAGAGAAAACGACCUUGCAAUACCAAAUCAAAUGUUCAAUAUUCCUAAUUUCUACAUAAAGUGAAAGGAAAAGUUCGGUGGAGUUUGUUUGGUCACGAAAGGACUUGUUUAUAUUUUUUGAUGCAUGCAAUGCAGGUAAGAAUCGCAUGUCAUGUCAACUUAGAAGCUUUGUAAUGAGAAACAAAGUACGAUCAUAUCUGGCGCACAAUGACAAUGACAGUAAUAAAAAAAAAAGCAGCACCAUCCCAGAUGCCUGUAGUAGAGGGCAGUGGUCGUUGAAGAAGUGUUGAAGAAACGCAAACAUGGUGAGAUUGGCCAAAUAAUAAAUUGCUUUGUCUAAAUAAAGACAGCGAGAAAGAGAGAAAAUUAUAAAUGAAAGGCAGGCAGGUUAACCGGGACUGAGCCCGGUUGGAUACCCUACAUUGGGGGAAGAAAAAAGCGAAUUUGUAAGCUGCCUAAGGCGAGACAUGCUUAAACAGCGGCCGGUAAUUACUGUGCAUAUGGGACCUAGUCGGUGUGUUGGUUCAGGAACUCGAUUGUCCGUUCAACAACCGCGGUUCUCCAGCAACAAAAUCAGUGAGGCUCUUGUUGCCCCUUAAUAUUCGAAGGAUGCGGAUAUUCUAACUCUUAGAAUAGUGAAUUAUCGAAUCAAAUGCAAAACGAAUAGCAAAUAUUAUUAAAUUCGCAUUCAAAAUUCGGAAUAUUUGCUCCUCCUAGCAUGGUUUUCGCGAUAUUCCACGUCACACGGGAAUGCUCAUGACUUUCUUUUCUUUCUUCUUUUUCGUAGUGCGACGAGUUCGAGUGAAUGCUGUGGCGUGAUUGUGCCCGGUGAAGCGCUCCGUCCAGGCGGAUGUAUUUUGGGUACUUCUGACCAACUCCACCAGUUGGAUAACGCAACCAAAAUAUCGUACAAAAUAAAUCGGAGUUGGCUUAAGGUGGCAAACUUCGCCUCAGCUA
rnacentral:lncRNA from 1 species